UGCGUAGGCGGGCAAUUAAGUCGGAGGUGAAAUCCCACAGCUCAACUGUGGAACUGCCUUUGAUACUGGUUGUCUUGAGUUACAGUGAAGUAGAUAGAAUAUGUAGUGUAGCGGUGAAAUGCAUAGAUAUUACAUAGAAUACCGAUUGCGAAGGCAGUCUACUAACUGUAUACUGACGCUAAUGGACGAAAGCGUGGGGAGCGAACAGGAUUAGAUACCCUGGUAGUC
rnacentral:rRNA from 1 species